AGGGAAUAUUGGGCAAUGGAGGCAACUCUGACCCAGCCAUGCCGCGUGCAGGAUGAAGGCCCUCUGGGUUGUAAACUGCUUUUAUCUGGGAAGAAACCUUUGGAUUCAUCUGAAGCUGACGGUACCAGAGGAAUAAGCACCGGCUAACUCCGUGCCAGCAGCCGCGGUAAUACGGAGGGUGCAAGCGUUAUCCGGAUUUACUGGGUUUAAAGGGUGCGCAGGCGGACUGUUAAGUCAGUGGUGAAAGCCCCGGGCUCAACCUGGGAAUUGCCAUUGAUACUGGUGGUCUUGAGUACAGUAGAGGUGGGCGGAAUGCAACAUGUAGCGGUGAAAUGCUUAGAUAUGUUGCAGAACACCGAUUGCGAAGGCAGCUCGCUAUACUGUUACUGACGCUCAGGCACGAAAGCGUGGGGAUCAAAC
rnacentral:rRNA from 1 species